GAAAAAUUAAUACGUUGGGGGCAAAAACAACCUCCCCUCCGUGUCUUUGUCCUUGUUGCUUCGGCGGGCCCGCCCCUCGAAUGGGGGGGGGGGGCGCCUCUGCCCCCCGGGCCCGGGCCCGCCGGUGACCCCGCUCCAACACCGUCUGACAGCGUGCAGUCUGAUUUGAAUGAUUGCAAUCAUUUAAACCUUUCAGCAUUGGCUCUCUUGGAUCCGGCACCGAUGAAUAACGCACUGCAAUGCCAUUCUAAUGUUAUUGCAGAAUUUGUGAAUCAUCUUUUCUUUGAACGCACAUUGCGCCCCUGGCAUUCCGGGGGGCAUGCCUGUUUCAGCGUCAUUGCUGUCCUCAAGCCUGGCUUGUGUGUUGGGUCGCCGUCCCCCUCUCCGGGUGAACGGGCCCGAAAGGCAGCGGCGGCACCGCCUUCGAUCCACGAGCGUAAGGGACUUUGUAACCUGCUCUGAUCGAUUGGUCGGCGCCUGCUUACUUUUUCCCACCAUUCUCUUU
rnacentral:rRNA from 1 species